ACACGCCGGAUAAAAGGGACUCGCCGGGACGCAAUAUUUUCCGGUUCAAGACGGAGACGAGACAGUCAAUGCACUCGCUUUCGCCUUUUGGUUAUGAUGACGAGAGACCUGGCGUUAGCCAUAGCCCUGUUAAGACUCCGAGGAAGGUCCCAAGAUCACCUUAUAAGGUAUUGGACGCACCCGCAUUGCAAGAUGAUUUUUAUUUGAAUUUAGUGGACUGGUCGUCGCAUAAUGUA
rnacentral:misc_RNA from 1 species